CUACAGGCUUAACACAUGCAAGUCGAGGGGCAGCAUGGUCUUAGCUUGCUAAGGCCGAUGGCGACCGGCGCACGGGUGAGUAACACGUAUCCAACCUGCCGUCUACUCUUGGACAGCCUUCUGAAAGGAAGAUUAAUACAAGAUGGCAUCAUGAGUCCGCAUGUUCACAUGAUUAAAGGUAUUCCGGUAGACGAUGGGGAUGCGUUCCAUUAGAUAGUAGGCGGGGUAACGGCCCACCUAGUCUUCGAUGGAUAGGGGUUCUGAGAGGAAGGUCCCCCACAUUGGAACUGAGACACGGUCCAAACUCCUACGGGAGGCAGCAGUGAGGAAUAUUGGUCAAUGGGCGAGAGCCUGAACCAGCCAAGUAGCGUGAAGGAUGACUGCCCUAUGGGUUGUAAACUUCUUUUAUAAAGGAAUAAAGUCGGGUAUGGAUACCCGUUUGCAUGUACUUUAUGAAUAAGGAUCGGCUAACUCCGUGCCAGCAGCCGCGGUAAUACGGAGGAUCCGAGCGUUAUCCGGAUUUAUUGGGUUUAAAGGGAGCGUAGAUGGAUGUUUAAGUCAGUUGUGAAAGUUUGCGGCUCAACCGUAAAAUUGCAGUUGAUACUGGAUAUCUUGAGUGCAGUCGAGGCAGGCGGAAUUCGUGGUGUAGCGGUGAAAUGCUUAGAUAUCACGAAGAACUCCGAUUGCGAAGGCAGCCUGCUAAGCUGCAACUGACAUUGAGGCUCGAAAGUGUGGGUAUCAAACAGGAUUAGAUACCCUGGUAGUCCACACGGUAAACGAUGAAUACUCGCUGUUUGCGAUAUACAGCAAGCGGCCAAGCGAAAGCGUUAAGUAUUCCACCUGGGGAGUACGCCGGCAACGGUGAAACUCAAAGGAAUUGACGGGGGCCCGCACAAGCGGAGGAACAUGUGGUUUAAUUCGAUGAUACGCGAGGAACCUUACCCGGGCUUAAAUUGCAGAUGAAUUACGGUGAAAGCCGUAAGCCGCAAGGCAUCUGUGAAGGUGCUGCAUGGUUGUCGUCAGCUCGUGCCGUGAGGUGUCGGCUUAAGUGCCAUAACGAGCGCAACCCUUGUUGUCAGUUACUAACAGGUUCCGCUGAGGACUCUGACAAGACUGCCAUCGUAAGAUGUGAGGAAGGUGGGGAUGACGUCAAAUCAGCACGGCCCUUACGUCCGGGGCUACACACGUGUUACAAUGGGGGGUACAGAGGGCCGCUACCACGCGAGUGGAUGCCAAUCCCCAAAACCUCUCUCAGUUCGGACUGGAGUCUGCAACCCGACUCCACGAAGCUGGAUUCGCUAGUAAUCGCGCAUCAGCCACGGCGCGGUGAAUACGUUCCCGGGCCUUGUACACACCGCCCGUCAAGCCAUGGGAGCCGGGGGUACCUGAAGUGCGUAACCGCGAGGAGCGCCCUAGGGUAAAACUGGUGACUGGGGCU
rnacentral:rRNA from 1 species